UUUGAGUUUAGUCGUCUGUUUCUCCUUGCUCUACGAGGAAUAGGUUUCUGCUCUGAUCUACACGUUAUUGGAUGAAUGAGAUGGAACACGGAUUGUGGUGAAAAACAACUAUGUAUGAUUAACGUGGGAGACAAAUAUGGAAUAUAAAGUGACAACUAAGAAUAGCUACAGAUGGUAAAUUUUAUGAAGAUAGUAGCUUUGCAGAAUGCCAAAGGUUGGCUUCCUCUUCAAUAGAUCUAUUCGCGAUGUUAAGACACUGAAGACAACAGUUAAGGAUUGAUCAUGGAAGCUGUCGACAAGCAUUUGUGCUCACUGUAGCUCUUGUUGAAGAUGUUGAUCAGAUCGGAUGCCAUGUUGGGGUUGAAGGUUCAUAACAAGGAAUGGUGCAUGAGAGUAAGAUGCUGACAGCUCGAAUGAGUAACGUUAUUAAAUCAUUGCCAAAGCCAUCGUCACUUGAUGCAUGGCAAAAGUUUUGCAUAAUACAUAUUCGUGGACCUCAACUGAAGGGCGUGUAUAAAACUUGUAUAUGUUGGUUGCCUUAGCAAUACAUUCGGAAAUCUCUUGGGGUUGAACUCAGUGGCAUCCUCACCCCAUUGUUUAGGAUUUUUAUCAACUAACACUAAUGGUACUAAGGUUUCUAUUCUUGGUGGCAGCAAAAUGUCCCCAACUUUGGUUAGUUUGUAAAUCUUACAAUACAUCAGAAUAUGGUGGAUAUAAUCUAAGAACCUUGUUCACUAUUA